AAACGGUCUCCCUCACAGAGAAAAUUAUUUGUGCAAAGAUAGAAUUCCUGGAAAAUUCGUCCUCCCAAACUUGUACCAUUUGCUUGCCAAAGUCAAUUUUCAAAGGCUACUCAAAUCUUCUUAUCAGAAGAUGUAUGUAACUCUUGAUGAAUAUCUUCGCUAAAUUUCUUACUUAUGGUCACCUUGAUUUUAUUGGCAAUCUAAAAGGUCAGUUGGUCAGGUAUGCAUAUAUGAUUAUUCAAAAUUCUGAGAAUUAUUUGCUUAUGUUGUGGUUACUCAUUUAUAAUAAUAUGGAGGGGAAUUUUCUUUGUCUAGCCCUAAUACAGAUUAAAUUUAUCUUUUUUUCUUAAAACACAUUUUUUUUGUUUUGUAUAUGACUAUAAUUUCUUACCCAAUAGUUGUUAGGUGUUUUGCCCUGAUUUUCUUACCAAAUUUGAGUUUUACUUUUCUCUUGAAGGAAAGUCAAAGUAUUACCAUAAUUGCUUUUACUUUUCUUGAAAGGAAAAUAUAAUUCUCUUCCAUAUUUGGAUAAUUCUUGUCUUGGAGGAAAAGUUUUGUACAUCUAUAUAUUGAAGACAUCUUUCCCACAACUAGAACACAAUAGCAUCCAUAAUGUACUCGUUUAGAGAGUCUUGUUUAUGGGGAGAUUAUUCUCUCCACAGUUUUAUAUCUUUCUUUAUAUUAGUUUUCGAUAUGUAGGUCAAUUGACCAAAUCAUAUUAUAAUAUUAUGUUUUUUAGUAUAUUUUCUUUGUUGUCCAAUUUAUCGUCGUUAAGGUUUGCAAUUGUAAGCUUCCGCAUGACGCUCUGAUUAUUUCGAUCCCAACAAGUGGUAUCAGAGCCGAUGGUUCAACCAAUGGUUUAGCGGGUUGAAGACAGGUUCAUAGCGUGUUCUGAUCAAGCUGCAAUUGAUUUCGCGAUAAUGAAGAUUUUAUCUAGGAGUACUACAUGUGGAGAUGAAUUUCAAUCAUAAUUUCAACAUUCCUGCUGCUGCAUCUUUAAAAAUAAAGCAAAAUAUUUUUAAACUAAUUUUUAACCCAUAAUAUUUUUAACCUUAUUUUUAACCAUGACAAGCAGUAGUAAUGAAGAUUAUGUGAAGAAGCUGGAUGAAGUUUUGUUAAGAAAAUCCAGGCCAAAAGGGGAGAUUUGUUAGGGGCUUUGCCUUGAUUUUCUUACUAAAUUUGAGUUUUACUUUUCCCUUGAAGGAAAGUCAAAGUAUUACCAUAAUUGCUUUUACUUUUCUUGAAAAGAAAAUAUAAUUAUCUUUCAUAUUUGGCUAAUUCUUGUCUUGGAGGAAAAGUUUUGUACAUCUAUAAAUUGAAGACAUCCUUCCCACAACUAGAACACAAUAGCAUCCACAAUGUACUCGUUUAGAGAGUCUUGUUUAUGGGGAGAUUAUUCUCUCCACAGUUUUAUAUCUUUCUUUAUAUUAGUUUUCGAUAUGUAGGUCAAUUGACCAAAUCAUAUUAUAAUAUUAUGCUUUUUAGUAUAUUU